AUUGAACGCUGGCGGCAGGCCUAACACAUGCAAGUCGAACGCGUGGCGGACGGGUGAGUAAUGUCUGGGAAACUGCCUGAUGGAGGGGGAUAACUACUGGAACCGGUAGCUAAUACCGCAUACCAUCAGAUGUGCCCAGCUGGGAUUAGCUUUUUGGUGGGGUAACGGCUCACCAAGGCCACGAUCCCUAGCUGGUCUGAUAGGAUGACCAGCCACACUGGAACUGAGACAAGGGCCAGACUCCUACGGGAGGCAGCAGUGGGGAAUAUGGGACAAUGGGCGAAAGCAUGAUGCAGCCAUGCCGCGUGUAUGAAGAAGGCCUUCGGGUUGUAAAGUACUGGAAGCGGGGAGGCGUUACCCGCAGAAGAAGCACCGGCUAACUCCGUGCCAGCAGCCGCGGUAAUUC
rnacentral:rRNA from 1 species